rnacentral:pre_miRNA from 1 species
GCAACCAUGAUGUAACUUCACAGACUCUCCAAAAGUCUGAAGUUACAUGAUGGUCGCUU